AUAUACCAUCAUUCCAUCCUGAACACAGCUGAUAUCAUUUGAUUUUGGAAGCUAAACAGGAUUGGGUCUGGUUAGUAAUUGAGUUGAGAACAGCAAUAAUGCCAAGUGUUUCUU
rnacentral:rRNA from 1 species